AUCAACGCUGGCGGCGUGCGCCUAACACAUGCAAGUCGAACGCGGUUCGUAGGCAAUACGAACUGAGUGGCGAACGGGUGAGUAACACGUGGGUGACCUACCUUCUAGUGGGGGAUAACGUCCCGAAAGGGACGCUAAUACCGCAUAACAUCCUGCCCUUGAACGCGGUGGAGAUGUCAAAGCCGGGGAUCGUAAGACCUGUAGGGCGCUGGAUGAGGGCGCCCGCGUCCGAUUAGCUAGUUGGUGAGGUAAUGGCUCACCAAGGCGACGAUCGGUAGCCGGCGCUGAGAGGGCGGACGGCCACACUGGGACUGAGACACGGGCCCAGACUCCUACGGGAGGCAGGCAGUGGGGAAUUGUUCGCAAUGGGCGCAAGCCUGACGACGCAACGCCGCGUGGAGGAUGAAGGUCUUCGGAUUGUAAACUCCUGUUGCCCGGGACGAAUGGCCUCGACCUAACACGUCGAGGUGUGCGGACGGUACCGGGUGAGAGAGCCCCGGCUAACUCUGUGCCAGCAGCCGCGGUAAUACAGAGGGGGGCAAGCGUUGUUCGGAAUUACUGGGCGUAAAGGGCGCGUAGGCGGCCUGCUAAGUCCGAACGUGAAAUCCCCGCAGCUUAACUCGGGAACUGCGUCCGAUACUGGUUGGCUUGAAUCCGGAGAGGGAUGCGGAAUUCCAGGCUGUAGCGGUGAAAUGCGUAGAUAUCGUGGAGGAACACCGGUGGCCGAAGGCGGCAUCCUGGACCGGCCAUUGACGCUGAGGCGCGAAAGCCAGGGGAGCAAACGGGAUUAGAUACCCCGGUAGUCCUGGCCCUGAACGAUGAAUGCUUGGUGUGGCGGGUAUCGAUCCCUGCCGUGCCGAAGCUAACGCCAUUAAGGCAUUCCGCCCUGGGGAGUACGGCUCGCAAGGCUGAAACUCAAAGGAAAUUGACGGGGGCCGCCACAAGCGGUGGAGCAUGUGGUUUAAUUCGACGCAACGCGAAGAACCUUACCAAAGGCUUGAACUGCAGAGGACACUCUACGAAGUAGACUUCCGCAGGACCUCUGUAGAGGUGCUCGCAUGGCUGUCGUCAGCUCGUGUCGUGAGAUGUUGGGUAAGUCCCGCAACGAGCGCAACACCAUUGUCUUUCUGUUGCCAUCGGGUCAAGCCGGGCACUCUGAAGAGACUGUCCGGUGACAAACCGAGGAAGGUGGGAUGACGUCAAGUCAGGCAUGGGCCUUUAUGUCUGGGGCGCACACACGUGCCUACAAUGGCCGGUACAAACCGUCGCGAGCUCCGCGAGGGGGAGCUAAUCGGAGAAAGCCGGUCUCAGUUCGGAUUGUAGGCUGCAACUCGCCUGCAUGAAGUUGGAAUCGCUAGUAAUACGCGGAUCAGCACGCCGCGGUGAUACGUUCCCGGGCCUUGUACACACCGCCCGUCACAUCACGAAAGCUGGCUGUACUAGAAGUAGCUGAGCCAACCCGCAAGGGAGGCAAGUUCCUAAGGUAUGGUCAGCUGAUUGGGUG
rnacentral:rRNA from 1 species